AUUGAACGCUGGCGGCAGGCCUAACACAUGCAAGUCGAGCGAGCGGCGGACGGGUGAGUAAUGUAUGGGGACUGCCCGAUAGAGGGGGAUAACUACUGGAAACGGUGGCUAAUACCGCAUACUAUCGGAUAACCCAUAUGGGAUUAGCUAGUAGGUGGGGUAAAGGCUAACAUAGGCGACGAUCUCUAGCUGGUCUGAGAGGAUGAUCAGCCCAACUGGGACUGAGACACGGCCAAGACUCCUCCGGAGGCAGCAGUGGGGAUUAUUGCACCAUGGGCGCAAGCCUGAUGCAGCCAUGCCGCUGGUAUGAAGAAGGCCGUAGGGUUGUAAAGUACUUUCAGCGGGGAGGCGUUACCCGCAGAAGAAGCACCGGCUAACUCCGUGCCAGCCGCCGCGGUAAUAC
rnacentral:rRNA from 1 species